GACGAACGCUGGCGGCGUGCUUAACACAUGCAAGUCGAACGUGAUUUUUGUGGAAAUUCUUUCGGGUAUGGUAAUGAAAUGAAAGUGGCGAACGGGUGAGUCACACGUGCGCAACCUACCUUACACAGGGGGCUAGCCGUUGGAAACGACGAUUAAUACCGUAUGAGACCACAGAAUCGCGUGAUAUAGGGGGCAAAGAUCUAUCGGUGUAUGAAGGGGUCGCGUCUGAUUAGCUGGUGGGAAGGGUAAAGGCCUACCAAGGCGACGAUCAGUAGCCGGUCUGGGAGGCGGAACGGCCACAAUGGAGCUAAGACACAGACCAAUCUGCUAGGGGAGGCAGCAGAAGGGAAUAUUGCACAAGGGGGGGAACCCUGGUGCAGCGACGCCGGGGGAGCGAAGAAGGGUGUCGAAACGUAAAGCUCUGACCUAUGAGGAGAUAGUGACGGUAUCAUAGGAAGAAGCCCCGGCUAAAUACGUG
rnacentral:rRNA from 1 species